rnacentral:rRNA from 1 species
AUAGUAUCCCUGCUCAUGAUUAUUUAAAUAGCCGCAGAAAUUUAACUGUGCUAAGGUAGCAUAAUCAUUAGUCCCUUAAUUAGGGACUUGCAUGAAUGGUGAGACAUUUCAACUUCUUUCUAAUAUAACAUAUUUAAAUUAAAUUAAGAAUAAAAAUGUUCUUAUUUUUAAAAAAGACGAUAAGACCCUUUUGAACUUUACUAUUGUUUAGCUGGGGCAGCUAAAAAAUAAUUACCUUUUUAAAAAUAUUUUCAUAAAUGACCCAAUUGAAUUGAUUAAUUGAACAAGUUACCAUAGGGAUAACAGCGUAAUAUUUUUCUAAAGCUCUUAUUUAAAAAAAAGAUUGCGACCUCGAUGUUGAAUUAAUGUCACUUUAAGAUGCAACGACCUUAAAAGUAAGUCUGUUCGACUUUUAAAACAUUACAUGAUCUGAGUUCCAAACCGGA